rnacentral:lncRNA from 1 species
UUUCUGCUUACAGUUUUAUCAUUCAUCUUGCUAGUUUGGCUCAUCUUACACCCCACAAAGCCGAAUUUUUCUCUCAAAGAGGUUGAAAUCAAUCAACUCAAACUGUCAGGCCCCUCCCUUCUCAACUCUUCAGUCCAGCUCACUCUCCUGUCCAACAAUCCAAACAAGAAAGUCGGAAUUUAUUAUGAUGAGAUACAAGUAUGUGCAUCUUACAAGAGUCAAAAAAUUACACACGAUACUUCUAUCCCUCCUUUUCACCAAGAGCACGAAGAAACCAAUUACCUGAGUGCAUCUCUGGUUGGAAAUCAGCAACCUGUGGCUCCGUCCUUCGGCUAUGAUGUCAGGCUUGAUCAGAGAACUGGAAAACUGAUGUUGACUGUCAAGGUAAUCGGAAAACUUCGAUGGAAGGUCGGGACUUGGGUUUCCGAGAA